UGCGCAGGCGGGCUUGUAAGUCAGUGGUGAAAUUCUGCCGCUUAACGGUAGAACUGCCAUUGAUACUGCAAGUCUUGAAUAUGGUUGAGGUAGGCGGAAUGUGUUGUGUAGCGGUGAAAUGCAUAGAUAUGACACAGAACGCCGAUUGCGAAGGCAGCUUACUAAGCCAUUAUUGACGCUGAGGCACGAAAGCGUGGGGAGCGAACAGGAUUAGAUACCCUGGUAGUCC
rnacentral:rRNA from 1 species